UGGAUCCAGACUUUGAUCAUGGCUCAGGAUGAACGCUAGCUACAGGCUUAACACAUGCAAGUCGAGGGGAAACGACAUUGAAAGCUUGCUUUCGAUGGGCGUCGACCGGCGCACGGGUGAGUAACGCGUAUCCAACCUGCCCAUCACUUGGGGAUAACCUUGCGAAAGUAAGACUAAUACCCAAUGACGUCUCUAGAAGACAUCUGAAAGAGAUUAAAGAUUUAUCGGUGAUGGAUGGGGAUGCGUCUGAUUAGCUUGUUGGCGGGGUAACGGCCCACCAAGGCUACGAUCAGUAGGGGUUCUGAGAGGAAGGUCCCCCACAUUGGAACUGAGACACGGUCCAAACUCCUACGGGAGGCAGCAGUGAGGAAUAUUGGUCAAUGGACGAGAGUCUGAACCAGCCAAGUAGCGUGCAGGAUGACGGCCCUAUGGGUUGUAAACUGCUUUUAUAAGGGAAUAAAGUGAGUCUCGUGAGACUUUUUGCAUGUACCUUAUGAAUAAGGACCGGCUAAUUCCGUGCCAGCAGCCGCGGUAAUACGGAAGGUCCGGGCGUUAUCCGGAUUUAUUGGGUUUAAAGGGAGCGUAGGCCGGAGAUUAAGCGUGUUGUGAAAUGUAGAUGCUCAACAUCUGCACUGCAGCGCGAACUGGUUUCCUUGAGUACGCACAAAGUGGGCGGAAUUCGUGGUGUAGCGGUGAAAUGCUUAGAUAUCACGAAAAACUCCGAUUGCGAAGGCAGCUCACUGGAGCGCAACUGACGCUGAAGCUCGAAAGUGCGGGUAUCGAACAGGAUUAGAUACCCUGGUAGUCCGCACGGUAAACGAUGGAUGCCCGCUGUUGGUCUGAAUAGGUCAGCGGCCAAGCGAAAGCAUUAAGCAUCCCACCUGGGGAGUACGCCGGCAACGGUGCAACUCAAAGGAAUUGACGGA
rnacentral:rRNA from 2 species